rnacentral:rRNA from 1 species
UACGAAGGGUGCAAACGUUGCUCGGAAUUAUUGGGCGUAAAGAGCUUGUAGGCGGUCUGUCGCGUCUGCUGUGAAAAUCCGGGGCUCAACCCCGGACUUGCAGUGGGUACGGGCAGACUAGAGUGUGGUAGGGGAGACUGGAAUUCCUGGUGUAGCGGUGAAAUGCGCAGAUAUCAGGAGGAACACCGAUGGCGAAGGCAGGUCUCUGGGCCACUACUGACGCUGAGAAGCGAAAGCAUGGGGAGCGAACAGG